rnacentral:rRNA from 1 species
GAGUUUGAUCCUGGCUCAGAUUGAACGCUGGCGGCAGGCUUAACACAUGCAAGUCGAACGGUAACAGGAGAAAGCUUGCUUUCUUGCUGACGAGUGGCGGACGGGUGAGUAAUGCUUGGGAAUCUGGCUUAUGGAGGGGGAUAACGACGGGAAACUGUCGCUAAUACCGCGUAGAGUCGAGAGACGAAAGUGCGGGACCGCAAGGCCGCAUGCCAUGAGAUGAGCCCAAGUGGGAUUAGGUAGUUGGUGGGGUAAAGGCCUACCAAGCCGACGAUCUCUAGCUGGUCUGAGAGGAUGACCAGCCACACCGGGACUGAGACACGGCCCGGACUCCUACGGGAGGCAGCAGAAGGG